rnacentral:rRNA from 1 species
AAAAGGGUAAACCCGUCUCUGUGGCAAAAGAGUGGGAAGACCUUGCAGUAGAGGUGAAAAGCCAAACGAGCCUGGUGAUAGCUGGUUGCUCAAAAAACGAAUUUAAGUUCGACUUUAGGCCUAACUCAAUAGAUUAAAAUCCCCCGUCGGCCUAAAAGCUACUCAAUGAAGGUACAACUCCAUUGAGACAGGAUACAACCUAAGCCAGAGAGAAAGAAAACUCAUUAUAACCAGUAGGCCCUAAAGCAGCCAUCAGUAACAAAAGCGUCAUAGCACAAAAACAACAAAUACCACAAUAAACCUCAAACUCCUAGUAAAACAUUGAGCCAAACUAUUAUUAUAGACGAACUAAUGCUAAAACUAGUAACAAGAAAUAUUCUCUCAGCACACCUGUAACCCAGAAAUAGAAAAACUACUGGACAUUAACAGACCACAACAGGAACAGCAUUCCAUGCUACUCAACCAACUGUUAAACCAACACAGGCCUGCCAUAAAGACAGAUUAAAAGUUAUAAAAGGAACUCAGCAAACCUUGUCCCAACUGUUUACCAAAAACAUAGCCUUUAGCCACACAAGUAUUAAAGGUCCCGCCUGCCCAGUG